GUAUACGGCCAUGCCACCCUGAACACGCCUGAUCUCGUCUGAUCUCGGAAGCAAAGCAGGGUCGGGCCUGGUUAGUACUUGGAUGGGAGAAAUGGCAGGUUUAACUUGGGGUCUUAUAGC
rnacentral:rRNA from 1 species